AACGUAGGAGACAAGCGUUAUCCGAAUUUACUGGGCGUAAAGCGCGUGCAGGUGGUUGGGUAAGUGGCGUGUGAAAUCUCCUGGCUCAACUGGGAGAGGCUGCGCCAAACUGCCCGACUAGAGGACGGUAGAGGGAGGUGGAAUUCCCGGUGUAGUGGUGAAAUGCGUAGAUAUCGGGAGGAACACCUGUGGCGAAAGCGGCCUCCUGGACCGUACCUGACGCUCAGACGCGAAAGCUAGGGGAGUGAACGGG
rnacentral:rRNA from 1 species